UAGUAAAAGCCUGCAGAGGUCUUCUCUCUCAAAAUUCCGAAAGCCAAAAUAACUGCUCGCUGCGACGCUGUGUGCUCAGUUCCGUCUUUAAUGGCGUUCCGGCAGAUAGUCUUCCUUGUUUUAGUUUUCCUGCCGAUGCUAUUGGCAGCAUUCGCGUGGGCGGACACGAUGCUACUCUCUGAAGACAUCGCGGAUUUGCGAGACCAUGAUGGCGCCGUAUCGCAAUCAGAAGCUGCAGAACUCGAACUCCGCCAACUCAAGUCAAAGAUUUCUUAUUUAGAAACCAUCAUUGAGGACCGAACGGCUGAAGUAAAAAGGAAGGAUGGUGGUAUCAAGCAAUUGGAGAAAGUUAUUGAAGAUAAAUCAAAUCUCUUGGCUUCAUUGCAGACUGCAGAGAAGGAGUCGUUGGAAGUGAAGGAACGGAUAGGAGAGGUUAAUGCACAUGCUAAUGAACUCGAGAAACAGAUUUUGAAUCUUAAUAAGGAGAUAGAAGCACAAAACAGAAAGAAGGACAAGCUGGAGUCCCAAGCAAAUGCAGCUGAGGAAAAGAUUGAAGGGCUGAAGUUGAAGCUUGAAAAUCUCCGGAAGAUUAAUAAUGAACAAACAUCAAGAAUUCAUAAGGCUCAACGUGCUCUCCAAGCAGCCGAGGAAGAAAUGCUGAAAGCAAAACUGGAGGCUUCUUCAAUGACCAAACAACUCAAAGAGGUUCACGGAGCAAGGUUGCCAUCUUCGUUUUCUGCUCAUAUAGUUCACUGUCAGUCGUUUGUCUUAACUCUCUGGAAUCAGAUUGGGAGACCGGUCUUCAAUCCAACAAUUCAAGAGGCUCUUAAGCAAAAAUAUGAAGUUGAAAAGUGGGUGCAGCAUCACUUGAGGACAAUAAAAAGGAAAUGGUUCCCAAUUAUCAAUGAACACUACAAUGCUAUUGUGGACAAUUAUCAUCCGUUGCUGCAAUCAUUUUCUACUCGAGCCAUUCAGUAUUAUCAUGUGGUGCAUAGCACCAUUAAACGUCACAUAAUGAAUAUACGAGAGACGGUGGACCCAUACUUCCAGGAAGCAAAGAUGUUCGUGAAGCCAUAUGUUGAUCAAGUUUCAGAGAUAACUGAACCUCAUCUUGAUAAAGCUUGUCUAUUCAUGAAACCCUUCUCCAAAAAAGUGAUUCACUAUCAUCAGAAGAUCUCUAAGAAUGUUCGAGAAUAUCAUUCCCUGGUCCAAGCAACUCUACAUGAAACACUAAACAGUUACGAAUUGACAAAGCCUCUGGCAACUGAAAGGCUGGUUCAAUUUAUGGCCUCCAUUCUGAUUGUGCUGCCUGUGAUUCUUCUUUUUAGAACACUUCUACCGAAAGAGCCAAAGAAGCGUCACCGCAGCAGCCAUAGAAGCCACACUCGCCGGAGGGCCAAACGUGCUAAUGCAAGCAAAUGAAUUUGCUCAAGAUGGUUUUACUCCAACUUUGGAGUAUAAGGAUGAGACUUGGUAUAUGCAGAUUUUGGCGACAAGGUUUGGAAAGAAGAAAGCGUUCUUCAGGUGGAUUCGGGGAUGUGUCCGGAGGGGCACUGAAGUCUUUUUCCAGCGCAGACGACAGGUCAAUGAUGAUCGACAGAUCAGCCCCGCACAACGUCGUAUGUGUUUUUCGUUUUUUAAUUAACACGCGCGCGAUUAAAUAUUUCGUUUCCAAUUUCCUAGGCGCCGGUGACCAAUAGCGCGCCCCCCGCUUAGAAUUUUCUAUGGCACGCUGGAAACCUCUGUUACUCGUUGCUCCCUAUUUAGAUGAC